GAUGAACGCUGGCGGCGUGCCUAAUACAUGCAAGUCGAGCGAACGGACGAGAAGCUUGCUUCUCUGAUGUUAGCGGCGGACGGGUGAGUAACACGUGGAUAACCUACCUAUAAGACUGGGAUAACUUCGGGAAACCGGAGCUAAUACCGGAUAAUAUUUUGAACCGCAUGGUUCAAAAGUGAAAGACGGUCUUGCUGUCACUUAUAGAUGGAUCCGCGCUGCAUUAGCUAGUUGGUAAGGUAACGGCUUACCAAGGCAACGAUGCAUAGCCGACCUGAGAGGGUGAUCGGCCACACUGGAACUGAGACACGGUCCAGACUCCUACGGGAGGCAGCAGUGGGGAAUCUUCCGCAAUGGGCGAAAGCCUGACGGAGCAACGCCGCGUGAGUGACGAAGGUCUUCGGAUCGUAAAACUCUGUUAUUAGGGAAGAACAUAUGUGUAAGUAACUGUGCACAUCUUGACGGUACCUAAUCAGAAAGCCACGGCUAACUACGUG
rnacentral:rRNA from 1 species